rnacentral:rRNA from 1 species
GACGAACGCUGGCGGCGUGCUUAACACAUGCAAGUCGAACGGAAAGGCCCUGCUUUUGUGGGGUGCUCGAGUGGCGAACGGGUGAGUAACACGUGAGUAACCUGCCCUUGACUUUGGGAUAACUUCAGGAAACUGGGGCUAAUACCGGAUAGGAGCUCCUGCUGCAUGGUGGGGGUUGGAAAGUUUCGGCGGUUGGGGAUGGACUCGCGGCUUAUCGGCUUGUUGGUGGGGUAGUGGCUUACCAAGGCUUUGACGGGUAGCCGGCCUGAGAGGGUGACCGGCCACAUUGGGACUGAGAUACGGCCCAGACUCCUACGGGAGGCAGCAGUGGGGAAGAUUGCACAAUGGGCGGAAGCCUGAUGCAGCAACGCCGCGUGCGGGAUGACGGCCUUCGGGUUGUAAACCGCUUUCGCCUGUGACGAAGCGUGAGUGACGGUAAUGGGUAAAGAAGCACCGGCUAACUACGUG